rnacentral:rRNA from 1 species
CCCUUAGACGUUCUGGGCCGCACGCGCGCUACACUGACCAGUGCAACAAGCAUCCGUCCUUGGCCGACAGGCUCGGGCAAUCUUUGAACGCUGGUCGUGAUGGGGAUAGACUUUUGCAAUUUUUGGUCUUCAACGAGGAAUUCCUAGUAAACGCAAGUCAUCAACUUGCAUUGAUUACGUCCCUGCCCUUUGUACACACCGCCCGUCGCACCUACCGAUUGAAUGGUCCGGUGAAGCCUCCGGAUUGGCGCGCACCUCGGUGCCGCCGAGAAGUUGGCUAAACCUUACCAUCUAGAGGAAGGUGAAGUCGUAACA